GGAGGUGCUGCUCUGGGGCCUCUGGGUGGAGGGGGAUUCAGACGCCGCGUCUGGUGUGUCCCUUUCUCCUUCUCGACCUUCCUCAGUCUGCGGCUCUUUUCUCCACCGCGCGCCCGCCUCAGCCGUUCAGCCCUGAGCUGGCGGGUGGACGGGCAUGGAUCCAGGCGGUGGGAGCAGUCUGCGAAGUCAGGGUAGGAAGGCUACACAAAGGAGGCGACAUCCCAGCCCGGUCCUCAGGAAUAAGCGGGCGUGCCCGCGUGGUGUGGACGGUUGUAUACAUCUGAACCGGUCGACUAAAGAUGCAAAGCCAAGUGCUCCAGUGAGUGUGGUACAGGUUGUUGAGAUGAAGGAGAGAUGGCAAUCGGCUGAAGUUACUGAAUACGUCAGGAAGGAGGCUGGUUUCAGCUGGCUGUGAUUGGGAGGAUCAAUGCGAGAACAUUCCGAGUCGGAAACAGCCAAGGCAAAGACUCACAGGAUUCUGCCCUGCCCCUCCGCUCUGCAUCUGACAGCUGGGAUCUCGGGAUCCUGUUUUCCUAAGCUUGCUGGAAUUCCUGCAGUCCUCAUGUGAACUCCCCUGGCCUCAUCACCAUCCUGUCUUACAGCUGUUCUG
rnacentral:lncRNA from 1 species